rnacentral:rRNA from 1 species
UGGCGGCGGGUGAGAACGCGUUGGUGACCUGCCCCGAAGAGGGGGAUAACAGUCCGAAAGGAUUGCUAAUACCCCAUGUGGUCGUUUGGAUUAGAUGCCUUAUGACUAAACGGAUUUAUUCGCUUCGGGAGGGGCCUGCGUCCCAUCAGCUAGUUGGUGAGGUAAUAGCUUACCAAGGCGAUGACGGGUAGGGGACCUGAGAGGGUGGCCCCCCACAAUGGAACUGAAACACGGUCCAUACACCUACGGGUGGCAGCAGUAGGGAAUAUUGGUAAUCUGGGAAACCGGGAACCAGCAACGCCGCGUGCGCGAUGACGGCCUUCGGGUUGUAAAGCGCUUUUUAAAGGGAUGAGGAAGGACAGUACCUUUAGAAUAAGCCUCGGCUAACUACGUGCCAGCAGCCGCGGUAAUA